UUGCUGCUCACUUGUGCAGAGAGGUGGC
rnacentral:piRNA from 1 species